rnacentral:rRNA from 1 species
GCUUAGGGUGCGUAGGCUGAUGUGUAUGUGUGUCGUGAAAUCCCUCGGCUCAUCCGAGGAACUGCAAUGCCAACCACACAUCUUGAGUUAGGCAGAGGUUGUCGGAACGUUCGGUGGAGCGGUGAAAUGCGUAGAGAUCGAACGGAACGCCAAAGGGGUAGUCAGGCGACUGGGCCUAUACUGACGCUGAGGCACUAGAGCGUGGGGAGCGAACUGGAUUAGAUACCCUGGUAGUCCACGCCGUAAACGAUGUGAACUAUAUCGAUGGCGGUCUGACCCGCUGUCGGUCGCAGACAAAUUACUAACUGCACCUCCUGGGGAGUACUGUCGCAAGGCUACUACUCAAAGGAAUUGACGGGGGCUCACACAAUCGGUGGAGCAUGUUGCUUAUUUCUAAGCAACGCGAACAAUCUUACCAGGGUUUGACAUGCUCGGAUUACCUCUAUGAAAGUAGAGCUACGCUCGCAAGAGUGGAACGUGCACAGGUAGCUGCAUGGCUGUCGUCACGCUCGUGCUGUGAAGUGUCGGGGUAAGUCCCUUAACGAGCGCAUCCCUUGUCGCUAGUUGCCACAGAGUCAUGUCUGGGACUCUAGCUAGACUGCCGGUGUCAAACCGGAGGAAGGUGAGCAUGACGUCAAGUCAGCAUGUGCCUUAUGUCCUGAGAUGCCAACGUGCUACAAUGGCCUGUACUGAGCGAUG